CAAUAAAGAUCAUUGCUCAUUUCAGAGGCAAGGAGUACAGCAAAGUCUUCCUGGAUUAUAACACUCUGGAGGAUGUCUAUAACUGGCUGCUCCAAGAAAUCUGUAAAACCGGACACUUCCCAAGUAACCUACUGCUGAAACAUGGCUCAAAAGAGCUUCCUCUUAAAGCAAACACCAAGGACAUCCCAGUAACAGACAUCACCAGUCCAUUGGAAGUGGAAGAACAAAAAAGG